CUGCCCCUGGGUGAGUCUCACUGUGCUCCUGCUGCCCCUGGGUGAGUCUCACCGUGCUCAGCUGCUGCAGGGUGAGGUUUUGUGGCACACACUGCUCUCUUCCUGCACCCCUGCAGUAAUUCCAGGUGUGUACAGCCCUCCCUGUCCCCUUAACUCUGCAUUUCUCUCCUCCACAGAGCUUGUCCUGUUCAUCUGUGCAAACAUUUGUUUAGCUCAGCUCGUGGAGCAGUGGAAACCCAACAUUCUGUGCUCAGCAGCAGCUUCAGCCUGUGCAGGGUGUGCUCAGGACAGGUGGGGUGGGCAGGACCAUCCCUGUGUCCCCUCGAGGUGAGGCUGUGCUGGGAGCUGCCCCAGGGCUGUUCUCUGAGCUGCCCCAGCCAAAGCCCAGGACAGCCUCGGCCUCUGGAGCUGCCAGGGAGGUGCUGGAGGAGAUCUGGGGUUGGCAGGGAGGUUCUAGAGGUGAUCUGGGGUUGGCAGGGGGGUUCUGGAGGUGAUCUGGGGGUGGCAGGGAGGUUCUAGAGGUGAUCUGGGGUUGGGCUGUGCUGCUGGAGGUGAUCUAGGGUUGGCAGGGAGGUGAUCUGGGGUUGGCUGCUGGAGGUUCUAGAGGUGAUCUGGGUUUGGCAGGGAGGUUCUAGAAGUGAUCUGGGGUUGGCAGGAGCUGCUGGAGGUGAUCUGGGGUUGGCAGAGAGGUUGUGGAGGUGAUCUGGGGUUGGCAGAGAGGUGAUCUGGAUGUGGCAGGAGCUGCUGGAGCUGAUCUGGGGUUGGCAGGAGCUGCUGGAGGUGAUCUGGGGUUGGCAGGGAGCUGAUCUGGGGUUGGCAGGGAGGUGCUGGAGGUGAUCUGGGGUUGGGCUGUGCUGCUGGAAGUGACCUGGGGUUGGCAGGGAGGUGAUCUGGUGUUGGCAGGAGGUGCUGGAGGUGAUCUGGGGUUGGCAGGGAGGUUCUAGAAGUGAUCUGGGGUUGGCAGGAGCUGCUGGAGGUGAUCUGGGGUUGGCAGAGAGGUGAUCUGGGGUUGGCAGGGAGGUUCUAGAAGUGAUCUGGGGUUGGCAGGGAGCCCCAGCCCAGAGGGCAUCCCCAAAGCUGCUCUCUGGUUCUGCAGCUGUGCUGCACCAGCCCCUGGUUUGCUGUGCCCCAGGGAUGUGGAGCCCUGCCUGGAGCAGCCCCAAGCUGUUCCUGUAGCACUGGGCUCAUCCCAGGGGUCCCCCAGCCCAGUGCCCACUUCAGCAGGAGCUGCACAGCUCUUUAUUUAUUAUUGGUUAUUCCAGAAGUGUUAAACUCUAUGAUUUGCAUGAAAUCCUGUGGUUCACAGCUUUGCCAAUAUGGUCCAUUACUACUGCCUACAACUCGUGUACUUCUAUGCCUUUGAGAACAUUUUUAACUGUUAAAAUUGUUUUUGAAAUCAAUGUUAAGUUAAUUUUUAAUGGGGAAAUGGAUUCUGGUGUCAAAAAUGGUAUUUACUGUGAUGCUGAUGUUUUGUACCUGUCAUCCAGCUAAACAACCUGUAAAUAUCCUGAGUCAAGAGAAACACAAAUGCCAAUUAUUUAUUGUUCUGUGGAGUUACAUGUCGCAGAUGUGUAAGAACUUUAAAGGGAAUGUUGUAAAACAAGGUGGAAAAAAUAAAUUUUAUGCAACUUCUGUACUUCA